rnacentral:lncRNA from 1 species
UUUUUCUACCCCUAAUAAAUGUGAGCACUGUGAUCAUAAAGACCCAGGUCAAUGCCCAAUGUCAUCGAAGACUUUCUUCCCAGGAACAAAUAUUUGUUGAGUGCCUAUAUUUUCCAGACACUUUCCAGGAUCCAGGGACUCAAUGGUCAACAUCUUCAGCAUUUACACAGAGGUCAUGGUGGAAAGUCUCAGCCUUCAGUACUAGACAACAGAAUAAGAGACAGUGGGAGCUUAUGCAGUGCGCUGGAGGCAAAGGUUGGCAUACAUGUCAAGAGAAUGUUCUCCAGCUGGGGCCUGCAGUACAGAGAAUUGUAUAUACCAGAGGGCUCAUGGGACUCUAGGCAGAUUAUUAUGGUAAUAUUGGAGGCUGCUGUCCUCUCCCUCCCACAGCUGGGCCGCCUCUCUCAUUUGUAAUGGAAACAUCCUUUUGACAGUUCUGAAAAUAUGACUUCUCUGCAGAACAGGCACCAAAGUACUGUAAGUAGCACUUAGCAUCCAUGGCACUGGAAAACGAUUAAUUACCUCACUUAGCAUUCUUUUAUGAUAUUCAAGGUUUGAAUAUACAACAAGGCUACAAAUCACCAAAGUUGG